rnacentral:rRNA from 1 species
AUACAGAGGGUGCGAGCGUUAAUCGGAUUUACUGGGCGUAAAGCGUACGUAGGCGGCUUUUUAAGUCGGAUGUGAAAUCCCUGAGCUUAACUUAGGAAUUGCAUUCGAUACUGGGAAGCUAGAGUAUGGGAGAGGAUGGUAGAAUUCCAGGUGUAGCGGUGAAAUGCGUAGUUAGAUCUGGAGGAAUACCGAUGGCGAAGGCAGCCAUCUGGCCUAAUACUGACGCUGAGGUACGAAAGCAUGGGGAGC